GGGGUGUGGCUCAGUGGUAGAGCGUUUCCUCGCACAGGUGAGGCACUGGGUUUGACCCUCAGCACCACCU
rnacentral:tRNA from 1 species